rnacentral:rRNA from 1 species
AUGAACGCUGGCGGCAUGCCUAAGACAUGCAAGUCGAACGAAGCGGCCCAUCGAAGUUUAUUGAAGUUUAGCGAGCUUGACUCAAAAAAUGGAUUUAAAUGGACUUGGAUCACCGCUUAGUGGCAAACGGGUGAGUAACACGUGGGUUACCUACCCCCAAGACGGGGAUAACGGUUGGAAACGAUCGCUAAUACCGGAUGUGGUCUACGGAUUAAAGAAGCCUUUAAAGCUUCGCUUGGAGAUGGGCCUGCGGUGCAUUAGCUAGUUGGUGGGGCAAUGGCCUACCAAGGCGACGAUGCAUAGCCGAACUGAGAGGUUAAUCGGCCACAUUGGGACUGAGACACGGCCCAAACUCCUACGGGAGACAGCAGUUAGGAAUAUUCGUCAAUGGGGGAAACCCUGAACGAGCAAUGCCGCGUGAGUGAUGAAGGUCCUUUGGAUUGUAAAACUCUGUUGUUUGGAAAGAACUGUAAGAAAAGGAAAUGUUUCUUACUUGACGGUACCAUUCAAGAAAGCCACGGCUAACUACGUGCCAGCCGCGGC